rnacentral:rRNA from 1 species
UACGUAGGGUGCGAGCGUUGUCCGGAAUUACUGGGCGUAAAGAGCUCGUAGGUGGUUUGUCGCGUUGUCCGUGAAAACUCACAACUCAAUUGUGGGCGUGCGGGCGAUACGGGCAGACUGGAGUACUGCAGGGGAGACUGGAAGUUCCUGGUGUAGCGGUGGAAUGCGUAGAUAGUCAGGAGGAACACCCAUGGCGAAGGCAGGUUACUGGGCAUUAUCUGAC